rnacentral:lncRNA from 1 species
AUGACGUAGAAAAAGACACAACACUGAAGAUUGUCAUGGGUCUUUAAGAAAAGGAAAUUUGAGACGGCUAAAACGCAGAACAGUGUGGAGUUUGGGGAAGAGAUGUGGCUAAAGACAGCGCAUUUGCUUCCUGAAUGAUGGUCCCACUCAGCCAUCCACCUAUACUUUCUACAAAGUCAAUUUAUACUGAUUCUUCAGAUCAGUUAAUCACUGCCCGCCUUGGGAUGUUUCUUAUAUCCCAAGAAACAGAAUAUUUUGAUGGGAUCGCUGAUGUUUCAGACUGCAAAAGCAGCUCAGGGCGUUUGCAGUCGUGCAAGUCAACAAGAUAACCGUCUGGACCGGAAGCUGGGCUCCUCCCGGUCUCCUAACUCCAAAUCCAACACCAAGCUUCUGCAGCUGCCACCUCCCGUAGACUUCGCAUUUCUUCCGCACUCUCCUCUCACGACGGGUCUUCUUUGUUGUACUUAAUUUCCUACGCAAUAAGAUUUCAGCAUCACCAUCAGUCCCCCAAAGACUAAUUCCCACAGAGCCGAAGUUCCCACCAAAGGCCGAGGGUUAAGGUUACUAAAAUCAGCGUUUCUGAAUCCUGUCUCAAGUUGUCUCAACUGGGCUUCCGUAGAACGGUUUCUUCGUAAGAGGGCCUUCAGCGACAGCCGAGCUCGGAAAAGAACGGGAAUAAGUUGUCUCUUACAUUUCCUCAAAUACUGUGAAUGGUCUGAGGCGCAGGUCAGGUGUAUUUAAAAACCUUUAAACAGUAUUCCCCCGCCCCAAAAACUGGCCUUGAAGGAACAAGUGAAACUCAUCCUGCUUUUCAUGUUUGCUGGGUUUGCCCGUUACACCCCUUCGCCCGCACCUAUCUAGACAGGCAGCUCUCGGCCACCCUCCGGGGUCCUGAUUUUGAAAAGAGGAGUGGACCAAUCAGAUGUGGAGCGCUGUUUGGCGCUGCCAUUUGAGCCUGGGCUGAAACUGCGGGUGUGACCCCCCCGUGGUGGCUCCGGGUGUCUGCAGUGGAGCUGGGGGCGGAAGCAUGAGGCUAACGGCUUGGCUUCAGUGAACGCACCGGGAUGUGCAGGCCGGGAGGUAGAGGCAGGCUGAUGGGGGAGGGAACGAGCAGCCUGUGAGACGG